UGAGGUUGAUGUGCCCUAUGAGUGUGUGAGGUUGAUGUGCCCUAUGAAGAGUGUGAGGUUGAUGUGCCCUAUGAAGAGUGUGAGGUUGAUGUGCCCUAUGAAGUGUGUGAGGUUGAUGUACCCUAUGAAGUGUGUGAGGUUGAUGUACCCUAUGAGUGUGUGAGGUUGAUGUGCCCUAUGAGAGUGUGAGGUUGAUGUACCCUAUGAAGAGUGUGAGAUUGAUGUGCCCUAUGAGUGUGAGGUUGAUGUGCCCUAUGAGAGUGUGAGGUUGAUGUACCCUAUGAAGAGUGUGAGAUUGAUGUGCCCUAUGAGUGUGAGGUUGAUGUGCCCUAUGAGUGUGUGAGGUUGAUGUGCCCUAUGAAGAGUGUGAGGUUGAUGUGCCCUAUGAGUGUGUGAGGUUGAUGUGCCCUAUGAGUGUGUGAGUUUGAUGUGCCCUAUGAAGAGUGUGAGGUUGAUGUGCCCUAUGAAGAGUGUGAGAUUGAUGUGCCCUAUGAAGUGCAUGAGGUUGAUGUGCCCUAUGAAGUGUGUGUGGUUGAUGUGCCCUAUGAGUGUGUGAGGUUGAUGUGCCCUAUGAAGAGUGUGAGAUUGAUGUGCCCUAUGAAGAGUGUGAGGUUGAUGUGCC